rnacentral:rRNA from 1 species
UACGUAGGGGGCUAGCGUUGUCCGGAAUUAUUGGGCGUAAAGGGCUCGUAGGCGGUUUGUCGCGUCGGGAGUGAAAACCUUGGGCUUAACUCAGGGCUUGCUUUCGAUACGGGCAGACUAGAGGUAUGCAGGGGAGAACGGAAUUCCUGGUGUAGCGGUGAAAUGCGCAGAUAUCAGGAGGAACACCGGUGGCGAAGGCGGUUCUCUGGGCAUGAUCUGACGCUGAGGAGCGAAAGUGUGGGGAGCGAACAGG